ACGCACGCUGGCGGCGUGCUUAACACCUGCAAGUCGAACGGUGAAGCGCCUUCCUUUUUGGUGGGUGUGGAUGAGUGGCGAACGGGUGAGUAACACGUGAGUAACCUGCCCCCUUCUUCUGGAUAACCGCAUGAAAGUGUGGCUAAUACGGGAUAUUCUGGGUCUGUCGCAUGAUGGGUCUGGGAAAGAUAUUGUUUCGGUGGGGGAUGGGCUCGCGGCCUAUCAGCUUGUUGGUGGGGUGAUGGCCUACCAAGGCGGUGACGGGUAGCCGGCCUGAGAGGGUGGACGGUCACACUGGGACUGAGACACGGCCCAGACUCCUACGGGAGGCAGCAGUGGGGAAUAUUGCACAAUGGGCGCAAGCCUGAUGCAGCGACGCCGCGUGAGGGAUGGAGGCCUGCGGGUUGUGAACCUCUUUCGCCAGUGAAGCAGGCCUGCCUCGUUUGUGGGUGGGUUGACGGUAGCUGGAGAAGAAGCGCCGGCUAACUACGUG
rnacentral:rRNA from 1 species